GAUGAAGAACGUAGCGAAAUGCGAUAAGUAGUGUGAAUUGCAGAAUUCAGUGAAUCAUCGAAUCUUUGAACGCACAUUGCGCCCCUUGGUAUUCCAUGGGGCAUGCCUGUUCGAGCGUCAUCUACACCCUCAAGCUCUGCUUGGUGUUGGGCGUCUGUCCCGCCCCCGCGCGUGGACUCGCCCCAAAUCCAUUGGCAGCGUUCCUUGCCCCCUCUCGCGCAGCACAUUGCGCUUCUCGAGGGCGGCCCCCGGGACGCGAUCCAGCAAGAUGACCACCGUCUUUGACCUCGGAUCAGGUAGGGAUACCCGCUGAACUUAAGCAUAUCAAUAAGCGGAGGA
rnacentral:misc_RNA from 1 species